rnacentral:rRNA from 1 species
UACGUAGGGUGCGAGCGUUGUCCGGAAUUAUUGGGCGUAAAGGGCUCGUAGGCGGUUUGUCGCGUCGGGAGUGAAAACACUGGGCUUAACUCAGUGCUUGCUUUCGAUACGGGCAGACUAGAGGCAUGCAGGGGAGAACGGAAUUCCUGGUGUAGCGGUGAAAUGCGCAGAUAUACAGGGAGGAACACCCGGGUGGCGAAGGCGGUUCUCUGGGCAUGUCCUGACGCUGAGGAGCGAAAGUGUGGGGAGCGAACAGG